rnacentral:rRNA from 1 species
AUGGGUGUCUCCAUUGUUGCACACACUUUGAUACCUCCUACUAAUGGAAUGUAUUUCCAAGAAAAAUAUCUGUACGUACAAAGUACAUAUCUACAAGUAAUUCACUCAUUUUUAAUGAUACUUCACGCGCUGUUUGCUAAGUUCUAUUUUUAUUUUAUCAAGCUUUACUAUGCUUUAAAUUAUACCAAUACUAUAUUUGAAGUGUGUUCAAGUUACCAGCCAUGGUAUUCAUCUUCUUUCUCCUUUUUUUUGGUGGAUUUUAUUUUGAUAUGUAGAAACAGCCACCCUACUGUGUACUCAGGAAAGGAACAUGCUUUGUUCUUUUAUCUACAUUGUUUCUAUAGCUUAUAUACUUCAGAUUUUCACUAUCGUAGUGUCGUCUCCCUUUCUAGAAAGCCAUGGAAACUAUAA